rnacentral:rRNA from 1 species
AGCAGGCGCGAAAACUUUACAAUGCUGGCAACAGCGAUAAGGGGACCUCGAGUGCCAGGAUACAAUCUUGGCUGUCGUGAUGCCUAAAAAGCAUUGCAUAGCAAGGGCCGGGCAAGACCGGUGCCAGCCGCCGCGGUAACACCGGCGGCUCGAGUGGUAACCGCUAUUAUUGGGUCUAAAGGGUCUGUAGCCGGCCGGAUAAGUCUCUUGGGAAAUCCGACAGCUCAACUGUCGGGCUUUCAGGGGAUACUGUUCGGCUCGAGGCCGGGAGAGGUGAGAGGUACUUCAGGGGUAGGGGUGAAAUCUUGUAAUCCUUGAAGGACCACCAGUGGCGAAGGCGUCUCACCAGAACGGUCCUGACGGCAAGGGACGAAAGCUAGGGGCACGAACCGGAUUAGAUACCCGGGUAGUCCUAGCCGUAAACGAUACUCGCUAGGUGUCGGCCACGGUGCGACCGUGGUCGGUGCCGUAGGGAAGCCGUGAAGCGAGCCACCUGGGAAGUACGGCCGCAAGGCUGAAACUUAAAGGAAUUGGCGGGGGAGCAC